UGGGGAAUUUUGCGCAAUGGGCGAAAGCCUGACGCAGCGACGCCGCGUGUACGAUGAAGGCCUUUGGGUCGUAAAGUACUGUCAACGGGGACGAACGCGGCACAUUGAAUAGGUGUGUCGUCUGACGGUACCCGUGGAGGAAGCACCGGCUAACUCUGUGCCAGCAGCCGCGGUAAUACAGAGGGUGCAAACGUUGCUCGGAAUGACUGGGCGUAAAGCGCGCGCAGGUGGGGAAAA
rnacentral:rRNA from 1 species